UAUACCCAACGCAAUCUGUCGCACGCGUUUCCCGUCUGCCACUCGUUGAGCGCGAAAAUAUUUUAUUUCGUUUAUUAGUAAAUGCGUGUUCGUGUAUUGGUCACUAUUAUAACACCGUGACCGACUUAACACAUCUUAUCCGCAUGAAGAAAUGUUUUCGCGAACAUUUUAUCAGUGCUUAUACAAUAUUGUAUUGUGUUAACGCGAGGAAAAAGAAACGACCCGAUAAUGAGUGAUUAUUAUCAGUGACGAUCAGUGACAACGGGGAAAUCGAUGGUGGCCUCGACCAACCUGCAGGGGCAGGUUUUAUCAAUAACCAAGGAAGGGACUAAUGGAGGUUUAAGAAUUUAGCGUUAAUUCUAUAAAGAAGUUUUCAUAUGGUUAGUAUAGCCAAACUUCAGCUCAAUAUGAAAUGAACAUUGAAAAUUUGAAAAUCGAUAUAUUCAAAAGAUGUUUGGCCCUGAUCUGACCUCAAUACAAGGUCGAACACCUCAUCGCCGGUCUGAUGUCAUUAUGUUCCGCGAAGGGUUCCGAUUUACAAAUCCUAUACCGUACAGGCCUGAAAUAUAUUAUAUGUGGUACAUGUA